AAUCUGCCUAUACAUGCCUCUUCCUCAUCCUCUCUAUCAGCAAGGCAAUUGCUCAGAGAACAACAGGAUGAUGAGUAUCUUGCAUCCCACUUAGCUGAUAAAGAGAAAGAAAUGAAUGUUGUCCAUGAAGCUGCAACUUGUCAGUUGAAGGGAGAUGUCAACAAAAGAAUCGAGCCAAUGGAAUUUGAGAGAAGGCUAGAUGCAAAAAGUGCUUCACUUCCUUGUGAACCAGCACCAGAUGAUGAGAAUGCUGUGACUCUUCUUGUUCGGAUGCCAA